rnacentral:rRNA from 1 species
GACGAACGCUGGCGGCGUGCUUAACACAUGCAAGUCGAACGGAAAGGCCCUGCUUUUGUGGGGUGCUCGAGUGGCGAACGGGUGAGUAACGCGUGAGUAACCUGCCCUUGACUUUGGGAUAACUUCAGGAAACUGGGGCUAAUACCGGAUAGGAGCUCCUGCUGCAUGGUGGGGGUUGGAAAGUUUCGGCGGUUGGGGAUGGACUCGCGGCUUAUCAGCUUGUUGGUGGGGUAGUGGCUUACCAAGGCUUUGACGGGUAGCCGGCCUGAGAGGGUGACCGGGGACACUGGGGGAGAGAGACACGGCCGAGACUCCUGGGGGGGGGAGGAGGGGGGAAUAGUGCACAAUGGGGGGGAGCGAGAUGCAGACACGGCGCGUGGGGGAUGGGGGUCUUGGGGUUGUAAACCGCUUGCGCGUGAGGAGAAGCGUGAGAGGGUGUAAGGUGUAGAAGCGCAGGGGAUCUAUGCG